CGGACGGGUGAGUAACGCGUAAGAAUCUACCUUCAGGUUCGGGACAACCACUGGAAACGGUGGCUAAUACCGAAUGUGCCGAGAGGUGAAAGGCUUGCUGCCUGAAGAAGAGCUUGCGUCUGAUUAGCUAGUAGGUGUGGUAAGGGCGCACCUAGGCGACGAUCAGUAGCUGGUCUGAGAGGAUGAUCAGCCACACUGGGACUGAGACACGGCCCAGACUCCUACGGGAGGCAGCAGUGGGGAAUUUUCCGCAAUGGGCGAAAGCCUGACGGAGCAAUACCGCGUGAGGGAGGAAGGCUCUUGGGUUGUAAACCUCUUUUCUCAGGGAAGAAAAAAAUGACGGUACCUGAGGAAUAAGCAUCGGCUAACUCCGUGCCAGCAGCCGCGGUAAUACGGAGGAUGCAAGCGUUAUCCGGAAUGAUUGGGCGUAAAGGGUCCGCAGGUGGCAUUGUAAGUCUGCUGUUAAAGAGUCACGCUCAACGUGAUAAAGGCGGUGGAAACUACAAAGCUAGAGUGUGGUCGGGGCAGAAGGAAUUCCUGGUGUAGCGGUAAAAUGCGUAGAUAUCAGGAAGAACACCGGUGGCGAAGGCGUUCUGCUAGGCCAAUACUGACACUGAGGGACGAAAGCUAGGGGAGCGAAUGGGAUUAGAUACCCCAGUAGUC
rnacentral:rRNA from 1 species